ensembl:snRNA
GUGUUGUAUGAAAGGAGAGAAGGUUAGCACUCCCUUUAACAAGGAUGGAAGAGGCCCUUGGGCCUGACAACAUCCAUAUCGUUAAGGCACUGCCUCCUACUUCAUGGCAUCUAACCACUUUUUUAU